rnacentral:lncRNA from 1 species
UCAGCGACGUGUGUGUUUCUAUUCAGAAGUGGGAUCCUGUCCUGGAUCUCUCAUGGUCUGGAGAAAGUUGUUCCUCAGCCUGAACUAGAGCGUAGAGAAUCCACAGCAGCAGCUGAGCAGCAGGUGUGUCCUCCUGCAGCGGCUCCAGGUUCCUCACCUGUCUGCUGUGUCUCUGCAGAGGCUCUAGUCACUGUGGUGGAAGUCGAAUCCGACCAAGAAGACAGCAAAGCUCUCCCACCUAGGAUUAUAGACUGGAUCAAACAGGGAAUAGAGAAAGUUGUUCCCCAGCCUGAGAUCUACAUUAGAGCGAAAAUAGACGAGGACCAACAACCUGAGCCUUCCGCAACUGGAAAAGACAUGGCCCCUCCAACUAGAAAAGCAUCGGAUACAGACAAGUCCACUGUGGAAGUUGAGCAGCAGCCAAAUGUAAUGGGAUGGAUCAUCAGUGGGAUCAGUCGCAUGUUGCCUCAGCCCGUCAUCAGGCCGACACAGCAAGUCCCGACUGAUGAAGUGCAAAGCAGUAAGUCUGACAUUUUAUUUACUCACUGUAACACAUCACAGUUCAACUUUGGUCCAUUUGAUAGACUUUGGGUCAAAGUUUAGAGUGUUUUAGUAAAACGUUAGAGGUAUAAAGAUGGAGAUGUUUGAGUUUUUGAUACCUAAGAAUGAACCCAUGUAUUGUAGUUCAACGUCCUAAACUCUUUUAAUCCAAAUGAAAUACCGGUAGAUGUUUUGCUUCUUUUCUUUAAACAUGGUUACUUCCCUUCCUACAUUUAUUGCUGCUGUCAUAAUAUCUUCUACUAUCAGAAAACACCAUAAGAAGGAAUUUGGUGUCAGAUAUUUUUUUUUUAUUUAAGAGUUGGGAACCCAUAGUUGUGUAUGGGUAGGCCUUAUAUCGGGUAACACAGCCUUAUAAAUCCUCCAUAAAUCAAUCACGAGCGCCGCCAGUUUGAAUCCACAAUGGGCCGUGACUGUGGGACCUUUACAUCUAACUGCUUCCAGAAUU